rnacentral:rRNA from 1 species
GACGAACGCUGGCGGCGUGCUUAACACAUGCAAGUCGAACGGAAAGGCCCUGCUUUUGUGGGGUGCUCGAGUGGCGAACGGGUGAGUAACACGUGAGUAACCUGCCCUUGACUUUGGGAUAACUUCAGGAAACUGGGGCUAAUACCGGAUAGGAGCUCCUGCUGCAUGGUGGGGGUUGGAAAGUUUCGGCGGUUGGGGAUGGACUCGCGGGUUAUCAGCUUGUUGGUGGGGUAGUGGCUUACCAAGGCUUUGACGGGUAGCCGGCCUGAGAGGGUGACCGGCGACAUUGGGACUGAGAUACGGCCCAGACUCCUACGGGAGGCAGAAGUGGGGAAUAUUGCACAAUGGGCGGAAGCCUGAUGCAGCAACGCCGCGUGCGGGAUGACGGCCUUCGGGUUGUAAACCGCUUUCGCCUGUGACGAAGCGUGAGUGACGGUAAUGGGUAAAGAAGCACCGGCUAACUACGUG